ensembl:lncRNA
CCUGAAUGAGGGUCACUCCAGGGCAGUUGGGAACUCACGGCCUGAGCACUCGCAUUCCCCAGACAUAGUGAGGAGGGAAGUAUCGUCAGUGGAGGAUCCACUUUUCAGCAAAUGCGCACAAACGCAUUCCGUCCACACGGGCCUGCCUGGCUGGCCAUGCUCUGCAGGGCAUGGGUGGGCGUCUGCCUCAGUUUCCCCGUCUGUGACCCCAGGUGCCCUGCCUCACACCAUCACUGGGAGGAGUCCACAGGUUUCUACACGUGAAGUACUUGGAACAGCGACUGGCAGGGAUGGACUUAAUGUAACAGGAUUCAUGAAGUUUACAAGACUUGGGAUCUUUGCAUGUUUUCACUGAACCAUGCAGUGAAGGAGGAGGCUGAGUGAACACUUCCUCAAGUGCCUUGCCUAGGUCUGCAUCCUGUCUUUCGAGCCCAGGACCUGGCAAACUUCUUCUGGAAAGAGCCACCUAAUAGGUAAAGG